rnacentral:tRNA from 1 species
GUGAGUGUAGCUCAGUUGGUAGAGCACGGGAUUGUGGCUCCCGUGGCCGUGGGUUCGAGCCCCAUCACUCACCCCA